CUUUAUGGCAGCUGUGCGCGGGAGGCAUUCGUGCCGCCGGGGUUCCUAUUGUCCCGAUUCUCAGCCCGCGUACGGCUGCCACCCUC
rnacentral:antisense_RNA from 1 species